rnacentral:rRNA from 1 species
GAACGCUAGCUACAGGCUUAACACAUGCAAGUCGAGGGGCAGCAUGAAAGUAGCUUGCACUUUGAUGGCGACCGGCGCACGGGUGCGUAACGCGUAUCCCAAUCUACCCAUGGCUCAGGGAUAGCCUUUCGAAAGAAAGAUUAAUACCUGAUGGUUUCGCUUUUUCCGCAUGGUUUAGCGAAUAAAGAUUUAUCGGCGAUGGAUGAGGAUGCGACUGAUUAGGUGUUGGCGGGGUAACGGCCCACCAAGCCGACGAUCAGUAGGGGUUCUGAGAGGAAGGUCCCCCACAUUGGAACUGAGACACGGUCCAAACUCCUACGGGAGGCAGCAGUGAGGAAUAUUGGUCAAUGGACGAGAGUCUGAACCAGCCAAGUAGCGUGAAGGAUGACGGCCCUAUGGGUUGUAAACUUCUUUUGUUUGGGAAUAAAGUGCUCUACGUGUAGAGUUUUGUAUGUACCUUACGAAUAAGCAUCGGCUAAUUCCGUGCCAGCAGCCGC